rnacentral:misc_RNA from 1 species
UUUUAAUUAGUUCCCUAUAUAUAAAAUUUAUAAUUAUCAGAAUAUAUUAAUUAAUUAAAAUAACAGAAAAUAAAAAUGAAAUUAAAAUGUGGGGAAACGUUUAGAAAGACGAUCCAAAGCGGCAUAGUAGUUAAUUAAUUAUAUGUAUAUAAUUAAAAAUGAAAAUAUGUACGGAUGUUGUGAUAAUGCAAAUUCUCUAUUAUAAAGUCAUUAUUCUUUCUACCUUAAUUUAAUAUGAUGAAUGAAUUCCUAGGGUUCCCGUACAUCGGUCAAAGCAUUGAAAAGUUAAUUGCAUGCAUGGCCAAGGCCAACUUGAAAUUAAAGAACGAUCUCAAACAAAUAAAAAUCUAAUUUGAAUAUCACUUG